rnacentral:rRNA from 1 species
GACAGAGGUCCCGAGCGUUAGGCGGAAUCACUGGGCUUAAAGCGUGUGUAGGCGGACUUCUAAGUACCUUGUGAAAUCCCACGGCUUAACCGUGGAACUGCUUGGUAUACUGGUUGUCUUGGGCCAUCUAGGGGCUACUGGAACAAACGGUGGAGCGGUGAAAUGCGCAGAUAUCAGGAGGAACACCAAUGGCGAAGGCAGCUCGCUGGGACGGUACUGACGCUGAGACGCGAAAGCGUGGGGAGCAAACAGG